rnacentral:sRNA from 1 species
UAAUCAUAUCGAUCGUGUUAUGGCAAAAAAUAUAAACUAAAGCUAUGCCGACCAAUUUCUUCAGAAAACUUGGCGUAUAUUCAAGGAAUGGAAAUAUGGGAGUUCAAUUUAUUUGAGAGGCGUUUUUGAAAUCUCUUUGAUAUAUGAUGUAGGCAAUGACCGAGAGUGCACGGAUUUCCACCAUUGUUCAAUAUCAAGUGCGAUU